rnacentral:rRNA from 1 species
AGUGAACGCUGGCGGCGUGCCUAAUACAUGCAAGUCGAACGAACGAAUAAGAGCUUGCUCUUAUAAGUUAGUGGCGCACGGGUGAGUAAUAUAUAGCUAAUCUGCCUCUUAGUAGAGGAUAACAGUCGGAAACGAUUGCUAAUACUCUAUACUUCUGCUUUACAUAAGUAAAGUAGAGAAAGUUUUUCGCUAAGAGAUGAGGCUAUACUGUAUCAGCUAGUUGGUAAGGUAACGGCUUACCAAGGCUAUGACGCAUAACUGGUCUGGGAGGAUGAUCAGUCACAUUGGAACUGAGACACGGUCCAAACUCCUACGGGAGGCAGCAGUAGGGAAUAUUGCGCAAUGGGGGAAACCCUGACGCAGCAACGCCGCGUGGAGGAUGACACUUUUCGGAGCGUAAACUCCUUUUAUCGGGAAAGAAUAAUGACGGUACCCGAUGAAUAAGCACCGGCUAACUCCGUG